GGUUAUCUUCUCACAGUCCAGUUAGAUCCCAGUGAUAGAGAAAAAAUGUGCAUUUUUAGUUCCAUCUAUUAUUCGUGCAGAACCUUAUGAGUGUUAUCCAUAGAAAACCCUCUCCCAUGGAAUGAAAGGCUUUUCUAUAAUUUGUCAGUAGUUGAUGUUUCCAAUGCAAUUUUCUGACUGUCUUUGUUGUCAUUCUAUAGAUGAUAUUUCUGCUGGCUGUAGCCACUGAGGAUCAGCUGGGUGUGUUGGACGCUGAAACCAGAAAGAGUCUGUAGAUGAAUAGGAGAGAGUGAAUGCACUCCCUUUAUUCACCUUUUCAGAGAGUAUCGGCCAGAAUACGAGCGCCUGAGAAAAACACUGAAUCCACAGGUAAAUCUUUGUCUACGGGAGAAAGCUCAAAAUAAACAAAAGAGAGAGCAGCUGGAACACUUGUGGAAGGACAUGGGCAGCGUGUGUGUGCAGGGCAGCACACUGGCAGGACCUGAUGCUUCUGCAAUGGGUCCCUCUGAGCUAAUACUAACACGAGGAACUCUCGAUGAAGAGCAAGAAGAGAGGGAGAGUGAUGCUGAUGACAUUGACCAUGAAGGUAAGGGAAUGAGGUCUAAAAGCUGCCUCUCAAGAAAUCCCCUCUAUAUUUCAUGUCCUGGAUGGACUGUAAGGAGAGCCUAGAAAACAAGCAAACAUUCAGUCACCUGACGUGUCAGAAUCUGUAGCAGAAGCUCAGCUGCAAUGGUCAGUGCAGGGAUAUCACUCUGUAACCUUUGUGAAAGUUCAAUUGUAAAUUUUCUAUUCAAAUAAUUAAUAGGUGUAUAACACACAUAAACCAGAGAACUCGGUAGGCUUGGGGCAUGCAGUGACCUCUGAAUUUGAUUGAUGCACAGAUGUGUCCAUCAUCUUUUUGGCCUUACAGUUUCUGCCCCUGGCUCUCUUCCCUUUUCCUGUGACUGUGGUCUUGGAGCAAUCUUCUAAGUUGUUACAGUGUGAUUUUUCUCUUAUAUAGCUCACAGACUUAAUCUUCAUUCUUUCCCUGUUCCACUGAUGGGUAGGAUCACUUAUUUCCUUUGCCCUGUAAUGUAGCUGAAGAUGGAAUAGACUUUCUAUGUUGC